AGCACCGGCUAACUCCGUGCCAGCAGCCGCGGUAAUACGGAGGGUGCGAGCGUUAAUCGGAAUUACUGGGCGUAAAGCGCAUGCAGGUGGUUUGUUAAGUCAGAUGUGAAAGCCCGGGGCUCAACCUCGGAAUUGCAUUUGAAACUGGCAGACUAGAGUACUGUAGAGGGGGGUAGAAUUUCAGGUGUAGCGGUGAAAUGCGUAGAGAUCUGAAGGAAUACCGGUGGCGAAGGCGGCCCCCUGGACAGAUACUGACACUCAGAUGCGAAAGCGUGGGGAGCAAACAGGAUUAGAUACCCUGGUAGUCCACGCCGUAAACGAUGUCUACUUGGAGGUUGUGGCCUUGAGCCGUGGCUUUCGGAGCUAACGCGUUAAGUAGACCGCCUGGGGAGUACGGUCGCAAGAUUAAAACUCAAAUGAAUUGACGGGGGCCCGCACAAGCGGUGGAGCAUGUGGUUUAAUUCGAUGCAACGCGAAGAACCUUACCUACUCUUGACAUCCAGAGAACUUUCCAGAGAUGGAUUGGUGCCUUCGGGAACUCUGAGACAGGUGCUGCAUGGCUGUCGUCAGCUCGUGUUGUGAAAUGUUGGGUUAAGUCCCGCAACGAGCGCAACCCUUAUCCUUGUUUGCCAGCGAGUAAUGUCGGGAACUCCAGGGAGACUGCCGGUGAUAAACCGGAGGAAGGUGGGGACGACGUCAAGUCAUCAUGGCCCUUACGAGUAGGGCUACACACGUGCUACAAUGGCGCAUACAGAGGGCGGCCAACUUGCGAAAGUGAGCGAAUCCCAAAAAGUGCGUCGUAGUCCGGAUUGGAGUCUGCAACUCGACUCCAUGAAGUCGGAAUCGCUAGUAAUCGUGGAUCAGAAUGCCACGGUGAAUACGUUCCCGGGCCUUGUACACACCGCCCGUCACACCAUGGGAGUGGGCUGCAAAAGAAGUAGGUAGUUUAACCUUCGGGGGGACGCUUACCACUUUGUGGUUCAUGACUGGGGUGAAGUCGUAACAAGGUAGCGCUAGGGGAACCUGGCGCUGGAUCACCUCCUUAAACGAUGAU
rnacentral:rRNA from 1 species